ACGGAAGGCAGCAGUGGGGAAUAUUGCACAAUGGGGGAAACCCUGAUGCAGCAACGCCGCGUGAAGGAUGAAGGCCUUUGGGUCGUAAACUUCUGUCCUUGGGGAAGAUAAUGACGGUACCCUUGGAGGAAGCCCCGGCUAACUACGUGCCAGCAGCCGCGGUAAUACGUAGGGGGCAAGCGUUGUCCGGAAUUACUGGGCGUAAAGAGUACGUAGGCGGUUUUGUAAGCGUAUGGUGAAAGGCAUCGGCUCAACCGGUGUCAGCCGUGCGAACUGCGAGACUUGAGUGCGGGAGAGGAAAGCGGAAUUCCUGGUGUAGCGGUGAAAUGCGUAGAUAUCAGGAGGAACACCGGUGGCGAAGGCGGCUUUCUGGACCGUAACUGACGCUGAGGUACGAAAGCGUGGGGAGCAAACAGGAUUAGAUACCCUGGUA
rnacentral:rRNA from 1 species